AGCAUAUUAAUAAGCGGAAGAAAAGAAACCAACAAGAAUUUCCUUAGUAAUGGCGAAUGAACAGGAAAAAGUUCAUCAUUGAAUCACCUUGCGUACAGCGAGCGUGAAAUGUGAUGUUAGAAUCGUAAUUGUAAACAGCACUUUGUGAUCUCAAGUCCAAUUGAAUGUGGCCAAUACCCAUGGCGGGUGUCAGGCCCUUGGUGUGAUCAAAUUGCUGCUAUAGUUUCGAUUUUGGAGUCGGGUUGUUUGAGAUCGCAAUCCUAAGAUGUGUGGUAAACUCCAUACAAAACUAAAUAUAACUACGAGACCGAUAGCGAACAAGUACCGUGAGGGAAAGUUGAAAAGUACUUUGAAAAGAGAGUUCAAUAGCACGUGAAACUGUACAUUGAAAAGCGGAUGAGAGCACAUGCACUGAUUUAAGUAAUUCACCUCCAUGCAUUGUGUUACAUAACGUGUAUCACGUUGAUUUCUAAUAGCAAUGUAUGAAGCGCAUUCUACUUAGUCACAAACUGUUCAGGUUCGAUAUCUUUUUGCUUGUCACAUGAACCGUACGUUUAUUCGCAUGAUUUUACCAGGUUCAUGUACGCUGCAAAAUAACGGACUUUUAAAAUAUGAUUGAUAUGUACUAUUACAAAUGACGACAGUUUUGGUUAAUAAUAGCUGUUUUGAAAGAGACAGAUUGAGUUUUCCAUGCUGUCGUAUAUAUAUAUAAACAUACUACUAUCAAUCUAUGGCAGAACAGCAAAAUUUGUGCCGUAUCAUCCGAACCGU
rnacentral:rRNA from 1 species